CCCUCACUAUUGCUUUACACUGCAGCAUAUUUAUAUUACUAGUUUUAGAGGACAUACAGCAACUCUUUCAGCUGAAAACUAGCAUGUCAUACUCUAUUCAAAAUAGAAAUCCUGAAUAAGAAGGGCGGGACAGUGGUAAAAAUCAGCAGAGAUUAACAUGGUAAGGCUGAUCUUAUUUCCAGUGUCCAGAAGUCUGAAACAAAAGCUAUUCCAGUACAGACAUCUUAGAAAGUACAGCUUGAAAGUAUGUGCCCACAUGGGAAAGAACAUUCCUAUUUUAGGAGAUAAAGAAGCUACGCAUGAAUUAACUAACUUUUUUUAUCUUGCCACCUGUAAGGAAUUUCACAUCAAAUAU